rnacentral:rRNA from 1 species
GAUGAACGCUGGCGGCGUGCUUAACACAUGCAAGUCGAACGAAGCACUUUAUUUGAUUUCCUUCGGGACUGAUUAUUUUGUGACUGAGUGGCGGACGGGUGAGUAACGCGUGGGUAACCUGCCUUGUACAGGGGGAUAACAGUUGGAAACGGCUGCUAAUACCGCAUAAGCGCACAGCAUCGCAUGAUGCAGUGUGAAAAACUCCGGUGGUAUAAGAUGGACCCGCGUUGGAUUAGCUAGUUGGUGAGGUAACGGCCCACCAAGGCGACGAUCCAUAGCCGACCUGAGAGGGUGACCGGCCACAUUGGGACUGAGACACGGCCCAAACUCCUACGGGAGGCAGCAGUGGGGAAUAUUGCACAAUGGGCGAAAGCCUGAUGCAGCGACGCCGCGUGGGCGAAGAAGUAUUUCGGUAUGUAAAGCUCUAUCAGCAGGGAAGAUAAUGACGGUACCUGACUAAGAAGCACCGGCUAAAUACGUG